rnacentral:rRNA from 1 species
AGUGGACGCUGGCGGUAGGCCUAACACAUGCAAGUCGAACGGCAGCACAGUAAGAGCUUGCUCUUACGGGUGGCGAGUGGCGGACGGGUGAGGAAUACAUCGGAAUCUACUUUUUCGUGGGGGAUAACGUAGGGAAACUUACGCUAAUACCGCAUACGACCUACGGGUGAAAGCAGGGGAUCUUCGGACCUUGCGCGAUUGAAUGAGCCGAUGUCGGAUUAGCUAGUUGGCGGGGUAAAGGCCCACCAAGGCGACGAUCCGUAGCUGGUCUGAGAGGAUGAUCAGCCACACUGGAACUGAGACACGGUCCAGACUCCUACGGGAGGCAGCAGUGGGGAAUAUUGGACAAUGGGCGCAAGCCUGAUCCAGCCAUACCGCGUGGGUGAAGAAGGCCUUCGGGUUGUAAAGCCCUUUUGUUGGGAAAGAAAAGCAGCAGGUUAAUACCCCGCUGUUCUGACGGUACCCAAAGAAUAAGCAACGGCUAACUUCGUG